rnacentral:rRNA from 1 species
UAGCUCACUGGUCGAGUCGGCCUGCGCGGAAGAUGUAACGGGGCUAAACCAUGCACCGAAGCUGCGGCAGCGACGCUUAUGCGUUGUUGGGUAGGGGAGCGUUCUGUAAGCCUGUGAAGGUGUACUGUGAGGUAUGCUGGAGGUAUCAGAAGUGCGAAUGCUGACAUAAGUAACGAUAAAGCGGGUGAAAAGCCCGCUCGCCGGAAGACC